rnacentral:lncRNA from 1 species
CCGUUGUUGAAGUCCUCAACCUUCCGCUCGCUCAUGGCUCAGAGGUGGGGUGGACAACAAAAUUGACUUUUAAUGAACAUACAUCAAUAUGCGAAAAGUAGUAUUGGAGAGAGUAUAAGAUGUACCACAAUUCAGAUAUCCUGUGGCCAACACAGCCAGAACUUAAUCAGAUCACUGGAAUUUACUGCAAGUACCUGAAAGAGAGUGGUUACUGAACCUAACAGCAAGAAACUUGUGUACAGAAGCAAAGCAAAGGCAAUUAGCCCAGUUGUGACCAUUUUGUAACUUAGCAUACCGUGGUGGCCUUGAUCAGCGUAAAAGAGAGAAAUCAAUCAGUUAAGAAUGAGGAAAAAUUGAAAUGGUGUUUAGAGUUUAAAGAGAGAGGAGAUAAUGAGAAACUGUCAUCCAAAAAAAAGUUUGGGCCUGGAGUUUCCAAUUCAGAACAUUUUUGUAAAUUAAAAAAAAAUGUCAUGCUUUCAUUAAGAGGAGACGAAAAGAAACAGAUAACCUAGAGUAUUUGCUGUAACAGGACGAUUCUUCCUGCCUCUCAAGGAUGCUCAAAAACAUAUUGAAGAUGUAUAUUGUCCUGAUGAGAACUGGAGUGAGAUGGUGGAGAAAGGAGCCAUCUAAGAUUCAUGCAAUGGAUUUUCAAAUCCAAUGACUGUUUAUGAAAAUAAUUUUGUACCCUCAGCAUCUAUGUUCAAUGCAGCUGAAAUCUUCCCAGAGCGAAGAAAUGCAUCAAAAAAGAAAAAGGAAAUGAAGAAAGAGGGAAGAAAAAAGAAAAAAGAAAAAAGAAAGGAAACAGAUUUUACUUUUAGCUCAUCUUCAGAUUUGCAAGAGAC